GACGAACGCUGGCGGCGUGCCUAAUACAUGCAAGUAGAACGCUGAAGAGAGGAGCUUACUCUUCUUGGAUGAGUUGCGAACGGGUGAGUAACGCGUAGGUAACCUGCCUUGUAGCGGGGGAUAACUAUUGGAAACGAUAGCUAAUACCGCAUAACAAUGGAUGACACAUGUCAUUUAUUUGAAAGGGGCAAUUGCUCCACUACAAGAUGGACCUGCGUUGUAUUAGCUAGUAGGUGAGGUAAUGGCUCGCCUAGGCGACGAUACAUAGCCGACCUGAGAGGGUGAUCGGCCACACUGGGACUGAGACACGGCCCAGACUCCUACGGGAGGCAGCAGUAGGGAAUCUUCGGCAAUGGGGGCAACCCUGACCGAGCAACGCCGCGUGAGUGAAGAAGGUUUUCGGAUCGUAAAGCUCUGUUGUAAGUCAAGAACGGGUGUGAGAGUGGAAAGUUCACACUGUGACGGUAGCUUACCAGAAAGGGACGGCUAACUACGUG
rnacentral:rRNA from 1 species